AACGCACCUUGCGCUCCUUGGUAUUCCGAGGAGCAUGCCUGUUUGAGUGUCAUUUAAUUCUCAAUCUCUACACACUUGUGUUGUUAGUGGAUUGGAGGUGGGGGUUUUGUGGGCGUACUUUGUAUACCCACUCCUCUGAAAACCAUUAGCUGGAAUGCCUUUGCAAAACCAACUAUCAGUAUGAUAAUUAUCUACGCUGGUGUUGUUGUGAAGGGAAUCUGCUUUCAAACCGUCUUUAUGACAAUUUGAAUCCAUUUGACCUCAAAUCAGGUAGGACUACCCGCUGAACUUAA
rnacentral:misc_RNA from 1 species